rnacentral:rRNA from 1 species
UCGACCGCCUGGGGAGUACGGCCGCAAGGUUAAAACUCAAAUGAAUUGACGGGGGCCCGCACAAGCGGUGGAGCAUGUGGUUUAAUUCGAUGCAACGCGAAGAACCUUACCUGGUCUUGACAUCCACAGAACUUAGCAGAGAUGCUUUGGUGCCUUCGGGAACUGUGAGACAGGUGCUGCAUGGCUGUCGUCAGCUCGUGUUGUGAAAUGUUGGGUUAAGUCCCGCAACGAGCGCAACCCUUAUCCUUUGUUGCCAGCGGUUCGGCCGGGAACUCAAAGGAGACUGCCAGUGAUAAACUGGAGGAAGGUGGGGAUGACGUCAAGUCAUCAUGGCCCUUACGACCAGGGCUACACACGUGCUACAAUGGCAUAUACAAAGAGAAGCGACCUCGCGAG